rnacentral:rRNA from 2 species
UACGGAGGAUGCAAGCGUUAUCCGGAUUCAUUGGGUUUAAAGGGUGCGUAGGCGGACUAUUAAGUCAGUGGUGAAAGCCUGCAGCUUAACUGCAGAACUGCCAUUGAUACUGAUAGUCUUGAGUUUGGUUAAGGUAGGCGGAAUGUGUAAUGUAGCGGUGAAAUGCUUAGAUAUUACACAGAACACCAAUUGCGUAGGCAGCUUACUGAGCCGACACUGACGCUGAGGCACGAAAGCGUGGGGAUCGAACAGG